rnacentral:rRNA from 1 species
GUGUCAGCCGCCGCGGUAAUACGAAGGGGGCUAGCGUUCUCGGAAUCACUGGGCGUAAAGGGUGCGUAGGCGUGUCUUUAAGUCAGGGGUGAAAUCCUGGAGCUCAACUCCAGAACUGCCUUUGAUACUGAGGAUCUUGAGUCCGGGAGAGGUGAGUGGAACUGCGAGUGUAGAGGUGAAAUUCGUAGAUAUUCGCAAGAACACCAGUGGCGAAGGCGGCUCACUGGCCCGGUACUAACGCUGAGGCACGAAAGCGUGGGGAGCAAACAGGAUUAGAUACCCUCGUAGUCC